rnacentral:rRNA from 1 species
GACGAACGCUGGCGGCGUGCUUAACACAUGCAAGUCGUACGGUAAGGCCCUUUCGGGGGUACACGAGUGGCGAACGGGUGAGUAACACGUGAGUAACCUGCCCACAACUUUGGGAUAACGCUAGGAAACUGGUGCUAAUACUCGAUAUGUGCUCCUGCUGCAUGGUGGGGGUUGGAAAGCUCCGGCGGUUGUGGAUGGACUCGCGGCCUAUCAGCUUGUUGGUGGGGUAGUGGCCUACCAAGGCGGCGACGGGUAGCCGGCCUGAGAGGGUGACCGGCCACAUUGGGACUGAGAUACGGCCCAGACUCCUACGGGAGGAAGAAGUGGGGAAUAUUGCACAAUGGGCGCAAGCCUGAUGCAGCAGCGCCGCGUGCGGGAUGACGGCCUUCGGGUUGUAAACCGCUUUCAGCAGGGACGAAGCUUUUUGUGACGGUACCUGCAGAAGAAGCACCGGCUAACUACGUG